GGGGGGAGGGGGCCUGGUUUGGUGAUAGGGAUAGAAAUAUAUUUGAAAUUUUAAAAAUAAGAAAAUUUUAAUAUUUUUUUUUAAUGGGAAGGGUGGGUUACGGGGUAUGAUUAGGGUAAGAAAAAAAUUAAAGGAUGAAGUAGAGUUUUGGAAAAUGUUUUCCUUAGUUUUGGAAGAGAAGACAUUUUCCUUAAAUUUGUGGAAAAUAAGUUUAUUUGGAAAAAAAAUUUCAAACAUUUAAGCCAACCAAAUAUGGGAAAAUUGGAAAAUAUUUUCCGGAAAAAGUUUUCCUCUAUACCAAAC
rnacentral:lncRNA from 1 species